rnacentral:rRNA from 1 species
AGGGCGGGACGGGUGAGUAACACGAAGGGUGGACCUGCCUGUAAGACUGGGAUAACUCCGGGAAACCGGGGCUAAUACCGGAUGGUUGUUUGAACCGCAUGGUUCAAACAUAAAAGGUGGCUUCGGCUACCACUUACAGAUGGACCCGCGGCGCAUUAGCUAGUUGGUGAGGUAACGGCUCACCAAGGCAACGAUGCGUAGCCGACCUGAGAGGGUGAUCACCAACACUGGCACUGAGACACGCAAGACCCUACCGGAAGCAGCAGUAAGGCAUCUCCCGCAAUGGACGAUGUCGGACGGAGCAACGCCGCGUGAGUGAUGAAGGUUUUCGGAUCGUAAAGCUCUGUUGUUAGGGAAGAACAAGUACCGUUCGAAUAGGGCGGUACCUUGACGGUACCUAACCAGAAAGCCACGGCUAACUACGUGCCAGCAGCCGCGGUAAUACGUAGGUGGCAAGCGUUGUCCGGAAUUAUUGGGCGUAAAGGGCUCGCAGGCGGUUUCUUAAGUCUGAUGUGAAAGCCCCCGGCUCAACCGGGGAGGGUCAUUGGAAACUGGGGAACUUGAGUGCAGAAGAGGAGAGUGGAAUUCCACGUGUAGCGGUGAAAUGCGUAGAGAUGUGGAGGAACACCAGUGGCGAAGGCGACUCUCUGGUCUGUAACUGACGCUGAGGAGCGAAAGCGUGGGGAGCGAACAGGAUUAGAUACCCUGGUAGUCCACGCCGUAAACGAUGAGUGCUAAGUGUUAGGGGGUUUCCGCCCCUUAGUGCUGCAGCUAACGCAUUAAGCACUCCGCCUGGGGAGUACGGUCGCAAGACUGAAACUCAAAGGAAUUGACGGGGGCCCGCACAAGCGGUGGAGCAUGUGGUUUAAUUCGAAGCAACGCGAAGAACCUUACCAGGUCUUGACAUCCUCUGACAAUCCUAGAGAUAGGACGUCCCCUUCGGGGGCAGAGUGACAGGUGGUGCAUGGUUGUCGUCAGCUCGUGUCGUGAGAUGUUGGGUUAAGUCCCGCAACGAGCGCAACCCUUGAUCUUAGUUGCCAGCAUUCAGUUGGGCACUCUAAGGUGACUGCCGGUGACAAACCGGAGGAAGGUGGGGAUGACGUCAAAUCAUCAUGCCCCUUAUGACCUGGGCUACACACGUGCUACAAUGGACAGAACAAAGGGCAGCGAAACCGCGAGGUUAAGCCAAUCCCACAAAUCUGUUCUCAGUUCGGAUCGCAGUCUGCAACUCGACUGCGUGAAGCUGGAAUCGCUAGUAAUCGCGGAUCAGCAUGCCGCGGUGAAUACGUUCCCGGGCCUUGUACACACCGCCCGUCACACCACGAGAGUUUGUAACACCCGAAGUCGGUGAGGUAACCUUUUAGGAGCCAGCCGCCGAACGUUGGACAGUGGACCUGCCUGUAAGACUGGGAUAACUCCA